rnacentral:rRNA from 1 species
CCUUGACAUACUAAGAACUUUCCAGAGAUGGAUUGGUGCCUUCGGGAACUUAGAUACAGGUGCUGCAUGGCUGUCGUCAGCUCGUGUCGUGAGAUGUUGGGUUAAGUCCCGNAACGAGCGCAACCUUUUCCUAUUUGCCAGCGGGUCAUGCCGGGAACUUUAAGGAUACUGCCAGUGACAAACUGGAGGAAGGCGGGGACGACGUCAAGUCAUCAUGGCCCUUACGGCCAGGGCUACACACGUGCUACAAUGGUCGGUACAAAGGGUUGCUACCUCGCGAGAGGAUGCUAAUCUCAAAAAGCCGAUCGUAGUCCGGAUCGCAGUCUGCAACUCGACUGCGUGAAGUCGGAAUCGCUAGUAAUCGCGGAUCAGAAUGCCGUGGUGAAUACGUUCCCGGGCCUUGUACACACCGCCCGUCACACCCAUGGGAGUUUGUUGCACCAGAAGUAGGUAGUCUAACCGCAAGGAGGACGCUUACCACGGUGUGGCCGAUGACUGGGGUGAAGUCGUAACAAGGUAGGCGUAGAUGA